AAAUUGAAGAGUUUGAUCAUGGCUCAGAUUGAACGCUGGCGGCAGGCCUAACACAUGCAAGUCGAACGGUAACAGGAAGCAGCUUGCUGCUUUGCUGACGAGUGGCGGACGGGUGAGUAAUGUCUGGGAAACUGCCUGAUGGAGGGGGAUAACUACUGGAAACGGUGGCUAAUACCGCAUAACGUCGCAAGACCAAAGAGGGGGACCUUCGGGCCUCUUGCCAUCAGAUGUGCCCAGAUGGGAUUAGCUUGUUGGUGAGGUAACGGCUCACCAAGGCGACGAUCCCUAGCUGGUCUGAGAGGAUGACCAGCCACACUGGAACUGAGACACGGUCCAGACUCCUACGGGAGGCAGCAGUGGGGAAUAUUGCACAAUGGGCGCAAGCCUGAUGCAGCCAUGCCGCGUGUAUGAAGAAGGCCUUCGGGUUGUAAAGUACUUUCAGCGGGGAGGAAGGUGUUGUGGUUAAUAACCGCAGCAAUUGACGUUACCCGCAGAA
rnacentral:rRNA from 1 species